GUACUCUCUUUGACAGCACAUAUACUAAAACUGGAAAGAUAGAGAAGAUUAGCAUGGCCCCUGCGCAAGGAUGACAUGCAAAUGCAUGAAACAUUCCAUAUUUCU
ensembl:snRNA U6 U6 spliceosomal RNA